UGAGUUCUUCGGGGCAGGGUGCAAUUCCCUACCGGCGGUAAAAGUCCGCGACCCACGCAAGUGGCUGACUUGGUGUGAUUCCAAGACCGACAGUAUAGUCUGGAUGGUAGAAGACACAA
rfam:Eubacterium biforme DSM 3989 Scfld8 genomic scaffold, whole genome shotgun sequence.